UUUCUAACAACUUUCUUAUACAA
rnacentral:snRNA from 1 species